CUGUGAAACUUUUUAUGUAAUUCUCUGUCUGUAUUAUGUAUUUCCUUUAUUUCUUAGACGAAGUGGUUCCCAACAUAGAUACAAUCGACUCUUUCUAAGUGAAGUCCUUCCUCCGGUUAUUCCCACGUGCAGUGAAGGCAGCAUGAGCAGGGCCACAAGCUGUGCUGUUGGGAGGAGACCUGCUUCUGGUUCAGAGGAGUAAACAGGACAGGACACGCUGCAGCUUACCAGGAAAAAAGUGCACGGUCACCCAGUAUGGGAAAAAAACAGUAUUGUGAAAGAGAAUUGAAGUUUUGUGGAUGAGAUCAUAACAGCUACGGAGCUCGUACAUUAAAAAACUCCACCGCAGUUCAGUAAACUGCAUUCACAGAUGAAGACUGUGAUACAGCUGGUUGAAAGUUCCAGAAAGCUAACGAGAGGACCUUGAGUUGAAAUUAAAUAGUCAAAUUUCUGUUUUCUGAACUUCCAAGCUUAAAUGUUCUGAAGCAUUUUACAUAUUAUUUUUAUGUAUUAAUUCCUUUUUUCCAACGUGUGAACGAGUUGUAACGUGAUUUACAAAAUGAGACCCGA